rnacentral:lncRNA from 1 species
CAAACAGCAGCGUAGUCUCAGUGACCUAAUUUCCUGCCACUGUUCCUUCUCCUCUGAUAAUGGGGAAGAACACUGGUUUUUCUCCUCCUACAACUAAACAAACAAAGCAUGAAAUGAGUGGGAAUGUUUAAUGCCAAAAGCCCGCAGAAGGAGAGCUGCUCUGGACUGGAGACCUUUGCAAACAGAAGGAAAAUGCUCUUGGAGUCCACUAGAGGGUCCAGCUGGGAGCCCUGCAGUGCCCUGGUGCCUCACUUUUCUCACCUAGAAAAAUGAAAACAAAUGUUGCUGGUUUUCAUAUUGGACUUCAAAAUCAGAAAAGAAUUAGACAAGGAGGGAGAAGCCCCUGCAGCCGUGUCCCGGUGCUGCCGGAGGAGGGAUGCUGCCCGCACGGGGUGGGCAGCGGAGCCGGGACCUCCUCCCAGGUGAUGUUUAAGGCACAGAAAAAUCUCCUCAUGCCGGCGCACAAUGGCCACAUUGUAAAUCCGUCCCUUCCCAUCAUGUAGGACGUUGGGAUCGUUAGUUUUGGCUGGAAAUAAAAUAUAUAUUACACGCA